UCGGUUGAAGCUCGUCUUGGUUUGGUUUUUCUGAAUUUAUUUUGGCCGUGAGUGGUCGAAUUAGUUUGAAGAUUAAAAAUUAGGGCUUGCAAUUAUGUAGAUUUUUUAUAUGUGGUGUCGAGCAGCAUUCUGAAUCUUUCCAGUAUUAUGAUCUUGGGCUUCACAUGUAUAAGAUUUAAGAUGUAGAUAUAUAUGAAUCUUUAUGUAUUUCCUAUAUAUAAAACUGCGAUUAUUGUUGUAGUGUGAUUUUGGAUGUUCAACUUUUCUCUAGUCAACUUGUUGUCUGAUGAAAUGCCUCUUAAUUAAUGGUUUAUUAGUUUGGAUGUUAACGCCUGUAAUACCUGUGCAAAGCGUUGCAGCUGCUCGAACUUCAAAACUGCUUUAAGACCACCCGUAGUGGAGUUUUUUUUUGGUGUUU
rnacentral:lncRNA from 1 species